AUGGUCGCCGCCCCCUCCCCCGCCCUAACCGCCGCGGACGCGAGGCAGGCCGCGGCGAGGAAGAAGGAGGAGGACGACGAGGAGGUCGUCUGCUUCAUCUGCUUCGACGGUGGAGACCUCGUCGUCUGCGAUUGGAGGUGCGACGCCGCAGUGCGCGACUUCUUCCACGCCUGGAUGGUCAUUGAGCGCGCCCCUCCUGAUUGCAGUCAGUGCCGCCGCCGUCUCCAAGCUGCAGAGUCCCGUUCCUUUCAGCCCGUGCGUUUCCUCAGCGUGAGAUCGAUCGGGAUGUCCCUAAUCUACUGUGUGUACUUUUAA
rnacentral:rRNA from 1 species